ACGUGUGAGAGACACUCAUAUUUAGUUGUUCAAAUCCAGGUGCAUGACACAACUAGAAGUUUCUGACUCUGUUCAGUAACUAAGUGAAGAAAAUGUCUUUGAUUUCCAUACAGGCUGCUUUUGGCAUGGAUUCUUCUAGAUGUGUUCUGAGCUAAAGGAAAAUAACCAAACACCCUAGAAUACAGUGCUUCUCAGCUUUGGAUGCACUUUGGAAUCACCUGGAGAAGUUUACAAGCAGCAUAGUACCUGGGACCCACUCCUUGAUAGUCUGGUUAGUCUUGGGUCUGGCCUGAUCUUGGAGAAGUUUCCAACCUUUGCAGAUGCGUAUGUUAUGCAGCCAAGCUUAGAAACCGCCACUGUAAAUGGACCAUAGGCUGCCCUUCGUUAAUCUAGCUUCAGUUCUGAUGAGUCAGAUCAUAGGUGAGACUUUUGACCACUUAUUUGUGUUUUUCUUAACUCUGAAGUAAUCUUCAGCAUGUGGAGAAUAUGUGGGCAGCUUGUGAAGCCGAGGGAGGAAAGACUGAGAAAUAAAGUGAAGGUGUGAGACACAUAUGGGGAGGCCCAGGAAAGCAAUCCCAGUGCUUCUCCAUAGCAAGGGUCCCCCAUCCUGAGUGUGAAUCUUGUUUAUUCCCAGCGGCACAAAAUACCAGAUCUGAAGUCAGGUAUCAUAACAUUUCAAAGCUGAGAAGGACUCGGGCAAAUCAGUUGGUGCAAUUCCUGUUUUCAUUGGAUGGAUAUUUACUCCUUCCAGCUCUGAGUAAUGCUUCUUUCCUUUAAGGUCACAGAGGUCCUUAAACAGGUCGUAACAGCCUCAUUUGUCCUCUUUCAUGCUAGCAUUUCUUUUUUAUUCCUUCUUUCCAUUCCUAUCUCCCUGCCCUUCCUUCUUCCUCCUUCUCUAUUGAACAUAUAAUUAUUAAGCACUGUCUGUAUGCUUGGGCAUAAUUUGCCAUUUCUCUCAGACUAUGUGCACAUUAUGCUUUUCUGAACAUCUCUGGUUUAUUCACAUUUCUCUUAUUUUCUUAUCAAAUUGUAAUCCACGACUUUCAUGAAGAUCUGGAGAAGAGAAAGGGUGAGAGGAGUCUGAGUUCUGAGCCUAGGAUGUUUGUAUUUAGCUUUGGGCAUCCUGGAACCCUUGUUUAUUUUUCCUUGGCCCAAAGUGUUAUUCCAUCGUGCCAAGAUCGGUUUGAAUUUUAUUCCUGUCUUGUGCAGGUCUUAGUAAAUCUGCCUAACUUAGCAUAGUCUACAACUUUUAUGAGCAUGUUGUUGAUCCUUCAUCUCAACCGUCAGUAAAGACACUGAAAAGUCAAUAAAGGUAGUGAGUCCUAUCAUACUUUGGGACAAAGGCAUGGGUGUUUACAGUAACAUUUAUGACCCAAUUAAUCCUGCUGUUUGAACUCACAUUCUUGUCUCAGAAUCAGGCAUCAAGUUCGUGGAGAUUUUAUGGAGAACUUCAAACGCCACCAAAACUGGUGUCUGCCAGUCCCCUAACUCUCUGAUAAUUCAAUAUAUCAUGUGCUCCCAACCACUCUCGCUGCAGCCUGUGGUCCUUCAUUUUCAUCCUACUCAAUGAAUUGGGUCUUUGUCCUCGCUGGCAACUUGGGCUAUGGACCAUCUUGGUGUUAAAACAUCUGUGCCUUGCCCUUUAUAUCAUAUGAUUUCUAGCCAUGACUAUUUCCUUGGUAACUUUUCCUCCUUCCCAAUUCAUACUGCCCUUCCUAUCCAAAAAUUUAGUCCCUGCCAUUCAUCUGGACAGCUGCACAGGAGUUUGUUUUGAUGUCCACAGAUAGGUGUUCCAAGACAUCCUUUAUCAAUGAUCACGAGAGAAGAGGCCCUUGCUUAUUUUAAAUGCUUGGAGUACAAUUCAUUAUACCUCUGGUGAGAUAGCAGUUUGAACAAGCUUACUUUUGAGUUUCACCCUAACAGCUCCCUGACUGGGGUGUGGAAGGAGUACUUAGAAUAUUUCCGAGGCAAUGAUUCUUCAUUCCAAAAUGUCAGGUAGUCAGCAGCCGUGGCAAGGCCUCUUCUCAGUGCUUCCUCUUUGUUUGGCCUCAGAUUAUCCCUUGACUUAGAAAUAAAAUGCCAGUGCAGUUAAUAAUGUGACUGGCAGAGAGACAUAGAGUCAUUUGUCUCCAUAGAGUGGGACAAAGGCCCGUAUCAACCCAAACAAACAGAUGACAGUCCUUCCCUGCAAGAGAACUUUUGCUCAUCACUGUCCAUCCAGAAAACUUUCGGUUUUUGCUUUAAUCUAAACCAUCCAUUUGAAACACCAAUCAUAGUUGGAAAUAAAGACAAAUGAUGUGCAUCCCUCUAGACUUUGAAAUGGGCACCCUGCCUUUUCUCUGGUCCCGACACUCCACAUGCUCAAUCUCCUAUGGUAGGCUGUGGAUCUCUCCACUCUUCUCUGUGCAUGGAAUGCCUAUUCUAGCAUCCAGGACUUUUGACCUUUAAUGUCAGUGCCUGGAAAGCAGCGUCCCCAUCCACACAACAGUGAUCACAAUUCUAUGCCCAGUCCCUCCCUUUCCAUCAUCCUCUCCUCUGAUCAUUGCCUUGCCAGGAAUACUUCUUACCCUCCACAGAUGUUUCCUUCUUACUCUUCUUUCCCAGAUACUUUAACAUGUAGUGAUGAUCUGGCUGUAACUAUCUCUGUUUGUUCAUUUGUUCAUGCCCUCAUGGACAAGUUACUCUUGAGAACCUACUAUGUGCCUGAAUUGGAAUAGGAUCCAUGGCACAAUGGCACCUACCUUCCUCAAACAUGAUCUGGUGAAGGACACCAACAUACGUAGUUGCAAAUAGUAUGCAAUUGAAAACUAGGAGUUCCCAUUGUGGUUCAGUGAGUUAAGGACCUGACUUUGUCUCUGUGAGGAUGUAGGUUUGAUCCCUGGCCUUGCUCAUUUGGUUAAGGGUCUGGCAUUGCUGCAAUCUGCAGUGUAGGUCACAGAUGCACCUUGGAUCUGGCUGUGGUGUAGGCCUGCAGCUGCAGCUCCAUUUCAACCCCUGGCCCAGGAACUUGCAUAUGCAGCAGUUGCAAAUGUAAAAAAAAAAACAAUACAAACAAACAAAAAAGCCAUUUCAAACAAUUUUACAGGGAUAAAUAGAGGGUAUUUUGAGAACUCAUAGGAUGUUUAUUUCUGACAAUGUAAUUUUUGAGUUGAAAUUGAAAGGAUGGUCAGGUUAUUUAGAAAGGGUAGGGGAGAGGUAGAAUAUACCUACCUCCAGGGACAGCAAACACAUAAAGCUCCAUGGUGGAAACCUGAGGAUCAAUGUGACUCCAGAGAAUGGGGCAUGUGUGGCCAUGUGACAAGGCAGCAGAGGUGAAGGGACUCAGGCAGGUCUGUCUUGUAGACCUUUUGAAGAAUGGUUUUAUUUUAGUAGCCAUAGAAAACCAUUGAGGGGUUUGUAGCAGGGCAGGACCAUGACUUUUGUUUUGUUUUGCAAAUGUUAUACUGGAGCUACCUGAGG
rnacentral:lncRNA from 1 species